GGGAGCAGCUAAUAGAAUAAUCUAAACCCAACAAGGUCUUGUAAAUUUUUCAUACCACUGUUUAGGUGCUUGUUUUAAGCCAUAUUACUUUUCGAGCUAGAAAACAAUAGGCAUCGGUCGCUUUGGGAAGCAGUUAAUAGAAUAAUCUAAACCCAACAAGGUCUUGUAAAUUUUUCAUACCACUGUUUAGGUGCUCGUUUUAAGCCAUAUGACUUUUCGAGCUAGAAAACAAUAGGCAUCGGUCGCU